rnacentral:pre_miRNA from 1 species
GGAGGAUUGCCAGAUCUUGGGCUGUGUCCCCCAGUGACCUUGGCUCCGGGUCUGCACUGCUGGAAUUGCGCUCCUGGGCCCCGCAGGCCCCU